GCGUGUGAAUCAUCCUUCUUUUGUUCAAAAAAGAAAAAGCAAACCCUAAUGACCUAAUCUCUCUCAAGUCUCUCAAGUAUGGUCGCCGACAUCAUCCAGAUCCAGCGCCGGUCAUCCACCAUGCUUGCAUCCACCGCCGGUUAUCCACCGCCUUCCCUCAAUACAACAACCUCAUGACGAUGAUAACAACAACAACAAAUCAAAUAACACAAAAGUAGAAGAAGAUGAAUCUACUGUUCAAUCUCAUCUACUGCUGACGACUUUGAUCCUUCAAAGCCUGUGAUUUUUGUUACGGACAGUAAGGGGAUCGGUUCCCCUGGUCUCACCUCUCUUGUUGAAGCUCUUGUCACUGAAGGUCUUUAUAAUGUCGCUGUCUGCGCCCCUCAACUGUAACUUUCUUCUAUCUUUAUAUUCAUUUGCUAAUUAGUUUACUUGUGCUUUGUGUUACAAGAAGAAGAAACUUGAUUCUUGUUGUUUGUUAACUGUUUAGGGCAUAUUGGAUUAUUGGCUUUAGGGUUUAUGGAUUGGGGAUUUGGAAUAUAUGUUUUUAUAUCUCUUUUUAACUUGGAAAGAUUACUGAUUUGUGAAAUCUAAAUAAAUAUUAAUAUAUCCUGCAUCCGUUUUUGGAUUGGGGAUUUGAAGUGAUAAUAUCAGAUAAUUACUUUGAAAUAUGUGAGUCUAAGAUCUAUUUGGUUAGAGAGAUUAUUUAUGGGUUAAAUUUUUUAGAUUUGUUGAAAAUUUGUAUACGGUUUGUACGGAUAAAUCGUUCUCUGGGCACUCGUUUACAUACCAAGAAUCGAUUUCUGUAAGCACUGCAGAAAUCAAAGGUGCCACUGCUUAUGAGGUUACUGGUAAGCAGCUCAAUUUCCCUAAUUCCCUUUAGCUCGAUGAUGGUGAAGUGUGAUUGUUUUUUUAUUCUUAAACCAAAUUUUUCUUUGCGAUUGAUUCAUGUAGGGACUCUAGUGGAUUGUGUUUCAUAUGGUGAUUGUUGGAGUUAACAAAGGUCCAAGUCGUGGCCAUGAUAUGUUUUCCUCGAGUGCUGUGGCUGGAGCUAGACAAGCUUUGAUUAGUGACGUACCAUCUUUAUCGGUCUCUUUAAAUUGGAAAAAAAGUGAAAGUCAAGAGAGUCAUUUUAAGGAUGCAGUGUCAGUUGUCAAUGCUAAAUAUGAGUACAAUUAUAUGCAGGUUUGAAUUGUUGGAAUUAAAGAUCUGAGAAGAGAACCAUGGGAACUUUGAACUUGUUUUUAAUGGAUGUAUUGAAUUAUUUAAGUCUUUUGUGAUUUACCGUUUAUGGAUUUUUGUUUUAAACUUGUUAAGUAUUCGGUGUUUAUAGAUUAUUUAAGCUGUUUGUGAACU